GAAGAUUUUUCUGCGAAGCUUCUGUACCCUGGACAGACUGCAGCUUGCAUCGGAACAGGGCUUGUACCGGUACAGCAAUGAUGGUUGUACCGGAACAACCAUCAAACUUUUCUGCGGCAAAAGCUGAUGUCUGUACCGGAACAGAAAAUCCUUGUACCGGUACAACAAUGCAAUUUUCGCUGAAAAUGCAUUGUUUCGAGUUUUACAAGCUCUUAGAAACUUUCUAAACAAUUACAACUUGAAAAUAUGAUUCUAAGAUCUAUAAUUAAGUAUGAAUCACCAUAAACAAGAUUUAAAGCUUACCUAAGCAUCGUGAUUCAAGUUUUGCGUGUUUUGCGUCCUUUCCCAUUCUUCGAAGUCUUGGAUUCUUCGAUCUUCAAUACUUCGCUCCGGAC
rnacentral:lncRNA from 1 species